rnacentral:misc_RNA from 1 species
GUGAAUCAUCAAAUCUUUGAACGCAAAUUGCACUCUCUGGUAUUCCGGAGAGUAAGCCUGUUUGAGGGUCAAUUUAAAUAAAAAUCGGUAUGGUUGCUGCCUUUCGUUGUGACGCACCGGAUUUGGGUCGUCUUGCCUUCGGUUAAAUGACAUAAAAUUUUUCAUUAUUUUUUUCUAACAUAGUUAAAUUAUUUUACUUACUUUUGCUAUAUCAAAUACUAGUUGAUUACAUCCUCAUGAUACAC